AUUGAACGCUGGCGGCAGGCUUAACACCUGCAAUUCGAACGAGUGGCGGACGGGUGAGUAAUGCUUGGGAAUCUAGCUUAUGGAUGGGGAUAACUACUGGAAACUGUAGCUAAUACCGCGUACCAUAGGAUGAGCCCAAGUGGUAUUAGGUAGUUGGUGUGGUAAAGGCUCACCAAGCCGACGAUCUCUAGCUGGUCUGAGAGGAUUACCCGCAACACUGGGACUGAGACACGGCCCAGACUCCUAAGGGAGGCAGCAGGGGGGAAUAUGGCGCAAUGGGGGCAACCUGACGCAGCCAGGCCGCGUGAAUGAAGAAGGCCUUUGGGUUGUAAGGUUCUUUCGGUAGAGAGGCGUUAACUGCAGAAGAAGCACCGGCGAACUCCGUGCCAGCAGCCGCGGUAAUAC
rnacentral:rRNA from 1 species